AAAGAAUUAGAGAACUCAGUUGUGACAGCUCAGGGAAAUGUUUCAUGGGAAGUAACAGAUGGUUCAAAGCCACCCUAAUUUCUGAGUGAGAUGGAGAAAGCCCAUGAGCCUGGAAAAUUGAAGGUUCUUGAAUCAGCUGUGAACAAAGUGGAGAAGGAUUCUGUCUUCUACAUUACAACAGCAAGAAAUUGACAACAGAAAAAUACAGAAACCCUCCCCAAUGCAUAACUGAAGUCCCAAGUGGUCUGUCACUGUGGCUAUGAAGAUUUGUCUAAGCUUGUGUUAUCUCAAGAGCCUGACAUCACACUGAUCAUUAAGCAACAGCACUGAGGCGCAGCUGGGUGUUACCAUGGCAACCUGCACUGGAUUUGCCUGCAGAGCUGUUUCAAGGACUUCAGGUACACAGGACUCAUCAGUCCAAGUGGUAAGAGAAACAUCUCCCUCUGUUUGAGAAGAAUGACCAACUAAACUGAAGAUGGAAGCUUCUGGGCCUUGUCAUAUUGGACACAGAGAAGAAGAAAACACAAUCACCAAAAGAACAGAACCCCCUGGCAGUGUUCACAUUUGCUGCUGCUCCCAGAAUUGCCUGUUUAACAUUUUCAGACUGAGGUUGACUGCAAGUAACUAAAAUGUGAAAAAUGAAGAAACCACAAGAACCACAGAAGUGACUUUGUGUCCAUGGAAGUUUAAAGUAAUUAAGAUGACACCAAGAAUGAUGGCCUUGACUGUUCACAGAAAUCAGACCUAACAAGACAAACAGGUUUCCAAUCAUAGAGGACACCCUGUCCUCAGAAGUACCAGAGAGGAAGGAGUUUUAUUCAUUUGUUUUUCUAUGCAUCUAAAUAUCCUGACAAUCUAAUCUCCAGAGGACCCUAGUCACCAGGCAAUACAAGACAUUCUCCAAUUGUGAGGUCCUCAACCCACUUUUCUGUGCUCUUCUAGUUCAAAAUGAGAACAUAAAAGACAAAACUGAAGAAAUUAGAUUUGAAUCUUUAUUACUACAAACAGAUACCUGGACCCACUCCCUCCUUAUUGUUGAUCAGAAAUUCUGGGAUAAGUGAUUAGAGCAAUAAAUCUCACCUAAGAAUAAGAUCAAUUUCCUGUUUUCCUCAGAGAAAAAAGAAAGUGGAAGAAGACAGUUUUUUCCUGGUGACAGUUUAUUUUAUCCCAGACACUUUCUCCAUUUGUAAUUUAGUCUCACUUGUGUAUUCAGAAGCAGUGCCAGUUCAGAUGGGUUUUGUGGGUGGGGACUAACAAAGUUAAAUACAGAUGUUCUGGUGCAUGAAGCCCUUAAGAGUCCAGCAGGAUUGAUAUGGUAAAAUAAACUCAGGGAGGGCUGUCUGGACCCACCUUUUCAGGAGACAAAGUGAGCAUAAAUAAGCAUAGAAUUAACAGGCCUCCUGUGCCAAAGUCAGAGGCAACCUGGGGACAUGGAUUUACAGAGGAAAAUACUCUCUAUAGUACAUUUGCUAUGAGAAAGUACAAUAUUAGAUGUUCUGGCUUUUAAUAUCAGGGUAUCACAAGGAAUAGUGGUCCAAAUUGGCACUGACCCCAUCAGCACUUUUUAUAAUAAAUGCUUCAUUUACUGGAAAUAUGGCUAUCAGGUUGCAAAACAUAAAAAUAACACUCAAAUCCAAGGUCAAACCACAGGGUGUAUAAUUCCCUUUUACUAACUAAACAAUUCAGUACUAAUUAUUCAGAUGCAGGGUGUAAUUGUUUUCCCAGGUUAUGCUUCAAUCUUUCCAAUUUACAAAGUCUGCUACAUGCACCAUCUCACCACCAUAGUGUGUCUGCCCCAUUACCCAGACAAGUUGAACUGGAAAUAGUUUUAUUUGCCCAUUUUAAGUAUCUUCCUCUCCUCUCAGGGUAACAUUAGUUUUUGUGUGGCUUAACAGAUGUUAUCAUCAUUUGCCCCUUCCAUGGAUAAGACACCUCUAGAGAGGCCAACAGAGUAGAACUCGAUCACUCUAAUAUAUUAGGUGAGAUUGCCUCAUCCUCUUUAUCUUUCAGAUUCUUUGUAUGUCUGUUCUAGAUAUGUUGUCAAAGUUGUGGUAAUCCUCACCAACUGGUAAGAAAUGAUAUGAAUGAGAUUGUAUUGUUGUGGGGCUUUUAUAUUCUGUGUGGUGGGAAUAUAAAUUAGCAUGACUUUUUGUUGGCAUUGUAUAAUAAAAUUUAAAAUGUACAUUCCAUUUUAUACACAAAAUUUUAUAUCUAAUAAAUAUUAUAUUCCAAUGAUAUAGUCAUAUAGUCAAUGAUAUAGUUAUAUGUAUCUUUACAUAUAAAUAUGUAAAGAUAUACAAAGUUGUUCAUCACAAUGAGAAACAACCUAUAUCCACCAAUAUGGACUAGUUAAAAAAUAUGGUAUACUCGUGGAAGAGAAUCUAUACAUUUGCU